GCCUGCAUAGAUCAGUGGUUAGGUCGCUUUCCACUCAAUACAGCGGAACCAUAAGAUAUGAAAGAGACGGAGGUGCGAAUCCUCCUGUGGGCA